rnacentral:rRNA from 1 species
UCUGGCCCCAGCAGCCGCGGUAAUUCCAGCUCUCAAAGUGUAUAUCGUCAUUGCUGCGGUUAAAAAGCUCGUAGUUGGAUCUGCGCCUCAGGACUCGGUCCGCCCAUUGGGUGAGAACUGGGCUCCUGGGCUAGUUUUGCUGGUUUUCCCUACGUUGCCUUCAUCGGUAGCAUAGGGUGGCUAGCGAGUUUACUUUGAAAAAAUUAGAGUGCUUCACGCGGGCUUAUGUCUGAAUACUCGUGCAUGGAAUAAUAGAAUAGGAUCUCGGCUCUAUUUUGUUGGUUUUCUGAUCUGAGAUAAUGGUUAAGAGGGACAGACGGGGGCAUUCGUAUCGCUGCGUGAGAGGUGAAAUUCUUGGACCGUAGCGAGACGCCCGACUGCGAAAGCAUUUGCCAAGAAUGUCUUCAUUAAUCAAGAACGAAAGUCAGAGGUUCGAAGGCGAUCAGAUACCGCCCUAGUUCUGACCGUAAACGAUACCAACUAGCGUUCCGUCGGCGGUAAAUACGCCUUGACGGGCAGCUUCCCGGAAACGAAAGUGUUUCGGUUCCGGGGGAAGUAUGGUUGCAAAGCUGAAACUUAAAGAAAUUGACGGAAGGGCACCACCAGGAGUGGAGCCUGCGGCUGAAUU